CGUCCGGGUGUCGCGGAAAGCUCUGAUUGGAUAGCACCGGACGCGGAGGCGAGAUUGCGCGACAAGCCGCCCCGCCCCUAGCGCCGCUUGCGUUCCAUGCUGUUGUAAGGCCUGCUGCUUGUAGUGGAGAAGAUUUUGAUAAUUUUUGUGGUUAUUUAAAGGUUGUUUCCACCCUCUCUCAGUCACAAGCUGACUGGAACCUGCUUUAACUGAAGGGCAGAGAACCUCUAGGUAGGUUGGAUCCCCAGCUUUCAGCAUCUGUGCCAGUGCCCCUCCCAUGAUCUGGGGCACAUCUGGCUUCAUGACCACAGCCACGGGGUGGGAUGUG